rnacentral:rRNA from 1 species
GGACGAACGCUGGCGGCGUGCUUAACACAUGCAAGUCGAACGGAAAGGCCCUGCUUUUGUGGGGUGCUCGAGUGGCGAACGGGUGAGUAACACGUGAGUAACCUGCCCUUGACUUUGGGAUAACUUCAGGAAACUGGGGCUAAUACCGGAUAGGAGCUCCUGCUGCAUGGUGGGGGUUGGAAAGUUCCGGCGGUUGGGGAUGGACUCGCGGCUUAUCAGCUUGUUGGUGGGGUAGUGGCUUACCAAGGCUUUGACGGGUAGCCGACCUGAGAGGGUGACCGGCCACAUUGGGACUGAGAUACGGCCCAGACUCCUACGGGAGGCAGCAGUGGGGAAUAUUGCACAAUGGGCGGAAGCCUGAUGCAGCAACGCCGCGUGCGGGAUGACGGCCUUCGGGUUGUAAACCGCUUUCGCCUGUGACGAAGCGUGAGUGACGGUAAUGGGUAAAGAAGCACCGGCUAACUACGUG